rnacentral:misc_RNA from 1 species
GAAAAAACCACCUGGGGAGGUGGUUUUUCGAAGGUUCAGUAAGUUGGGGAACUUCUGAACCGUGGUAACAGGGUGUACAAGACCGCUGCCACCAAAUACGUCCUUUCAGUUUAGCCGUAGUUAGGCUUCAACUUCAAGAACUCUGCACCAGUAAUCUCUUGUACACCCCUUUACCAGUGGCUACCGCCAAUGGCGAUUUGACGUGUCUGUAAGGGUUGGACUCAAGACGAUAGUUACCUUACAUGGCGCGGUAGUCGGACUGAACGGGGGGUUCGUGCAUACAGUCCAGCUUGGAGCGAACUGCCUACCCGGAACUGAGUGUCAGGCGUGGAAUGAGACAAACGCGGCCAUAACAGCGGAAUGACACCGGUAAACCGAAUGGCAGGAACAGGA